AUUGAACGCUGGCGGCAGGCCUAACACAUGCAAGUCGAACGGUAACAGGAAGAAGCUUGCUUCUUUGCUGACGAGUGGCGGACGGGUGAGUAAUGUCUGGGAAACUGCUUGAUGGAGGGGGAUAACUACUGGAAACGGUAGCUAAUACCGCAUAACGUCGCAAGCCCAAAGAGGGGGACUUUCGGGCCUUUUUCCAUCGGAUGUUCCCAGAUGGGAUUAGCUAGUAGGUGGGGUAACGGCUCACCUAGGCCACGAUCCCUAGCUGGUCUGAGAGGAUGACCAGCCACACUGGAACUGAGACACGGUCCAGACUCCUACGGGAGGCAGCAGUGGGGAAUAUUGCACAAUGGGCGCAAGCCUGAUGCAGCCAUGCCGCGUGUAUGAAGAAGGCCUUCGGGUUGUAAAGUACUUUCAGCGGGGAGGAAGGAAGUAAAGUUAAUACCUUUACUCAUUGACGUUACCCGCAGAAGAAGCACCGGCUAACUCCGUG
rnacentral:rRNA from 1 species